AACCACGUAGUGUAGUGGUUAACAUGCCUGCCUGUCACGCAGGAGAUCGCGGGUUCGAGUCCCGUCGGGACCGCCA
rnacentral:tRNA from 1 species